rnacentral:rRNA from 1 species
AGCGAACGCUGGCGGCAGGCCUAACACAUGCAAGUCGAGCGCCGUAGCAAUACGGAGCGGCAGACGGGAGAGUAACACGUGGGAGCGUACCCUUCAGUUCGGAACAACCCAGGGAAACUUGGGCUAAUACCGGAUACGUCCGUAAGGAGAAAGAUUUAUCGCUGAUGGAUCGGCCCGCGUCUGAUUAGCUAGUUGGUGAGGUAACGGCUCACCAAGGCGACGAUCAGUAGCUGGUCUGAGAGGAUGAUCAGCCUCACUGGGACUGAGACACGGCCCAGACUCCUACGGGAGGCAGCAGUGGGGAAUAUUGGACAAUGGGCGCAAGCCUGAUCCAGCCAUGCCGCGUGGAUGAUGAAGGCCCUAGGGUUGUAAAGUCCUUUCGGCGGGGAAGAUAAUGACGGUACCCGCAGAAGAAGCCCCGGCUAACUUCGUGCCAGCAGCCGCAGUAA